AUACGGAGGAUGCGAGCGUUAUCCGGAUUUAUUGGGUUUAAAGGGUGCGCAGGCGGGCGAUUAAGUCAGCGGUGUAAGGCUCGGGCUCAACCGGAGCAGUGCCGUUGAUACUGGUUGUCUUGAAUGCGGUCAAGGCCGGCGGAAUGUGGCGUGUAGCGGUGAAAUGCAUAGAUAUGCCACAGAACACCGAUAGCGAAGGCGGCUGGCCGGGCCUGCAUUGACGCUGAGGCACGAAAGCGUGGGGAUCGAACAGGAUUAGAUACCCUGGUAGUCCACGCUGUAAACGAUGGACACUCGUUGUCGGCGACAGACAGUCGGCGGCCAAGCGAAAGUGAUAAGUGUCCCACCUGGGGAGUACGGUCGCAAGGCUGAAACUCAAAUGAAUUGACGGGG
rnacentral:rRNA from 1 species